AAACAAGUUGCAAGUACACACAUGCGUCUUCAAGUAUUCACAUAAAUGAACACAGAAAGACAUGAUGCAGAACAUUGCUAUUUACUGCUGGGAAGGAGAGAAAGAAGAGAAAGGAGAAAUAAUCCAUCUCACAGUUAUUGAUUUCCUCUGCUACUGAACUCACCAGGCGAGAUGACAGGAGACGACGUGAGGCGAGGCAAGAGCAGACAACGGGAGAGGGCGUGACGUGAGAGUAGACAACAAGAGAUGGCGUGAAGCGAGAGCAGACAACGAAAGACAACAUGAGGCGAGAGUAGACAAAGGGAGAUGACGUGGGGUGAGGUGAGAGCAGACAACGGGAGACGACGUGAGGCGAGAGCAGACAACAGGAGACGACAUGAGGCGAGAGCAGACAACGGGAGACGACGUGGGGUGAGGUGAGAGCAGACCAUGGGAGACGGUGUGACGUGAGAACAGACAACAGGAGACGGCGUGAGGAGAGAACAGACAACAGGAGAUGAUGUGAGGCGAGAAUAGACAACGGGAGAUGACAUGAGGUGAGAGUAAACAACAGGAGAUGAUGUGGGGUGAGGUGAGAGCAGACAACGGGAGAUGGUGUAAUGUGAAAACAGAUAUCAGGAGAUGGCGUGAGGCGAGAACAGACAACGGGAGACGACAUGAGGUGAGAACAGACAACGGGAGACGACGUGAGGCGAGAACAGACAACAGGAGAACAGACAACACGAGAUGUCGUGAGGCGAGAACAGACCACAUGAGACAAUAGCGGAUUUGGCUAACUGAGGAACUGCUGUCUGUCACAUCUUCACAGGUGAUAAUAUUCAUAGGUGACAAUUACUGGAUGUAAACCUAUGAAAAAUGGAAAAUGGAAAAUACAUGUGUUGAGACACUGCAGUAACCAUUUAUUGUAACUCGAGAGACGAACAUGAUCCUGUACAGUAUUGCCAUGAUUUUGCUAGAAGUAGAUUACUGGAUGCGUAUUCGAACCAAGGAAAAGUAAGGCUGUACAGUCUAGAUGCCUUGGUGUACAGUCUACAGGCCUGCGUGUACAGUCAAGAGACCUGGCUAUACAGUCUAGAUGCCCCGG
rnacentral:lncRNA from 1 species